rnacentral:rRNA from 2 species
GGUUUGUCGCGUUGUUCGUGAAAUCUCACGGCUUAACUGUGAGCGUGCGGGCGAUACGGGCAGACUUGAGUACUGCAGGGGAGACUGGAAUUCCUGGUGUAGCGGUGGAAUGCGCAGAUAUCAGGAGGAACACCGGUGGCGAAGGCGGGUCUCUGGGCAGUAACUGACGCUGAGGAGCGAAAGCGUGGGGAGCGAACAGGAUUAGAUACCCUGGUAGUCCACGCCGUAAACGGUGGGUACUAGGUGUGGGUUUCCUUCCUUGGGAUCCGUGCCGUAGCUAACGCAUUAAGUACCCCGCCUGGGGAGUACGGCCGCAAGGCUAAAACUCAAAGAAAUUGACGGGGGCCCGCACAAGCGGCGGAGCAUGUGGAUUAAUUCGAUGCAACGCGAAGAACCUUACCUGGGUUUGACAUGCACAGGACGCCGGCAGAGAUGUCGGUUCCCUUGUGGCCUGUGUGCAGGUGGUGCAUGGCUGUCGUCAGCUCGUGUCGUGAGAUGUUGGGUUAAGUCCCGCAACGAGCGCAACCCUUGUCUCAUGUUGCCAGCGGGUAAUGCCGGGGACUCGUGAGAGACUGCCGGGGUCAACUCGGAGGAAGGUGGGGAUGACGUCAAGUCAUCAUGCCCCUUAUGUCCAGGGCUUCACACAUGCUACAAUGGCCGGUACAAAGGGCUGCGAUGCCGCGAGGUUAAGCGAAUCCUUUUAAAGCCGGUCUCAGUUCGGAUCGGGGUCUGCAACUCGACCCCGUGAAGUCGGAGUCGCUAGUAA